rnacentral:rRNA from 1 species
GAUGAACGCUGGCGGCGUGCCUAAUACAUGCGAGUCGAGCGAACAGACGAGGAGCUUGCUCCUCUGACGUUAGCGGCGGACGGGUGAGUAACACGUGGAUAACCUACCUAUAAGACUGGGAUAACUUCGGGAAACCGGAGCUAAUACCGGAUAAUAUAUUGAACCGCAUGGUUCAAUAGUGAAAGACGGUUUUGCUGUCACUUAUAGAUGGAUCCGCGCCGCAUUAGCUAGUUGGUAAGGUAACGGCUUACCAAGGCGACGACGCGUAGCCGACCUGAGAGGGUGAUCGGCCACACUGGAACUGAGACACGGUCCAGACUCCUACGGGAGGCAGCAGUAGGGAAUCUUCCGCAAUGGGCGAAAGCCUGACGGAGCAACGCCGCGUGAGUGAUGAAGGUCUUCGGAUCGUAAAACUCUGUUAUUAGGGAAGAACAAAUGUGUAAGUAACUAUGCACGUCUUGACGGUACCUAAUCAGAAAGCCACGGCUAACUACGUG